rnacentral:rRNA from 1 species
AAAAGGUGGCUAUACUACCGCUUUUGGAUGGGCCCGCGGCGCAUUAGCUAGUUGGUGGGGUAAAGGCUUACCAAGGCAAUGAUGCGUAGCCGAAUUGAGAGGUUGAUCGGCCACAUUGGGACUGAGACACGGCCCAAACUCCUACGGGAGGCAGCAGUAGGGAAUCUUCCACAAUGGGCGAAAGCCUGAUGGAGCAACGCCGCGUGGGUGAAGAAGGUCUUCGGAUCGUAAAACCCUGUUGUUAGAGAAGAAAGUGCGUGAGAGUAACUGUUCACGUUUCGACGGUAUCUAACCAGAAAGCCACGGCUAACUACGUGCCAGCAGCCGCGGUAAUGCGUAGGUGGCAAGCGUUAUCCGGAUUUAUUGGGCGUAAAGGGAACGCAGGCGGUCUUUUAAGUCUGAUGUGAAAGCCUUCGGCUUAACCGGAGUAGUGCAUUGGAAACUGGGAGACUUGAGUGCAGAAGAGGAGAGUGGAACUCCAUGUGUAGCGGUGAAAUGCGUAGAUAUAUGGAAGAACACCAGUGGCGAAAGCGGCUCUCUGGUCUGUAACUGACGCUGAGGUUCGAAAGCGUGGGUAGCAAACAGGAUUAGAUACCCUGGUAGUCCACGCCGUAAA